GACGAACGCUGGCGGCGUGCUUAACACAUGCAAGUCGAACGGUAAGGCUCCAGCUUGCUGGGUUCCACGAGUGGGAAACGGGGGAGUAAAACGGGGGGAACCUGCCCUGAACUUGGGGAUAGGCCGGGGAAACGGGGCCUAAAACGGGAUAGGACGGCACGGUGGGGGGGGGGGGGAAGGUUUUUUCGGGGUGGGAUGGGCCCGCGGCCUAUCAGCUUGUUGGUGGGGUAAUGGCCUACCAAGGCGGCGACGGGUAGCCGGCCUGAGAGGGUGGACGGCCACAUUGGGACUGAGACACGGCCCAGACUCCUACGGGAGGCAGCAGUGGGGAAUAUUGCACAAUGGGCGGAAGCCUGAUGCAGCGACGCCGCGUGGGGGAUGACGGCCUUCGGGUUGUAAACUCCUUUCACCAUCGACGAAGGGUUUCUGACGGUAGAUGGAGAAGAAGCACCGGCUAACUACGUG
rnacentral:rRNA from 1 species